rnacentral:rRNA from 1 species
UACAGAGGGUGCAAGCGUUAAUCGGAGUUACUGGGCGUAAAGGGCGCGUAGGCGGUCAUGUAAGUGAGAUGUGAAAUCCCUGGGCUUAACCUAGGAACUGCAUCUUAUACUGUAUGACUGGAGUACUGUAGAGGGUAGUGGAAUUUCCGGUGUAGCGGUGAAAUGCGUAGAGAUCGGAAGGAACACCAGUGGCGAAGGCGGCUACCUGGACAGAUACUGACGCUGAGGCACGAAAGCGUGGGGAGCAAACAGG